CAGAAGAAACGACGCCGCACGCUAUUUUACUAUGCGAUGUUGGUUGAAACGACGUUGGAAGCUUGCAGUAUUGGAUCCGCAACGUGAAUUCGUCAAAUUGUGAUCUUGUUUCGAUUGAUCUCCAUGAUCGAAGUCGUUCAAGUUUUACAGCUUGUGAAGAAGAUAGAAAAUAUUAAAGAUCAUUUGGAUCGAAUUUUAAACGAUGCAUAAUCGGAGAUGAUCAAUGUGAAUUUGUUUUUAUGAAAAUAGACUUGGCCACACAUUAUCAAACCCAUUAUUCUCCAGCAAGAAUAGAUUCUCUCCGGCGAAGGGACGUUCCCGACGAGGAGAGAGAGAGAGAGAGGGAGGGAGAGAAUGUGGUUGUUCAGCAGAGAAGCAACUACUCAGCUGCUCGCUACUCCAUUCACAUUUCCAGUUGUGAUAGAUCACAAAAUGCCCAUGAUUUCUUGAAGCUUCAUAAAGAAAUGAUGGCCCAGAUUUCUGCAGCAGGCCACCAGAUCAACUCAUUCAAAUAAUGCGAUUUUCAGGUUUUCUGUGAUUAUGUGCACCAGGGCAUGCACAAAUCAAACAUACAAGAAAAUGAGAUGAAAAUCCAAAUCUGAAGAGACCAUUUGGAAAAGGGUUUGCCAUAUAAGCAGUAUGUGUCCGUCAUUCUGGUACAUACACUUUGGUUAUGGUGAUUUGGCAGUUUUCAAUCCCAUCUUUGCUGCUUCCUGUCUAUCACUAUGUUAUGUCCUUCAACCCUGCUGCGAUGCGAAACGAUCCCAGGGCUUGUUUGGUUCCAAUGCUCAUUUGCUUAUUUCUCAAAACUCAAAAGCAAGCAAUAAGCAAAUAUGCUUGUUUGGCAGCUGUUGGGUUACUUAGUUACCAAAUAGUACAAGAAAACCAACAACCAGCAUAAGCAAUUGGUAUCCAAAGAAUUCUGUUUACUCCUCAUUUCGGUUAUUGCUUAUUUGCACGAAAAAAAUUAAUAAGCAAUGGAAAUUAACCAAGCAAUGUGAACCAAAAGGGCCCUGAAUUUCUGAUUUGACGUGCCUGCAAACUGUUUUACAAAAUUAUUGCAUGUGAAAUUUACCAGGAACAGCUGAUGCUAGUACAAGGAGUCGAAGACGUGUGAAACUUGUGAGCCGACAUGUUUAAAGUGUCAAGUACUGAGGACUGGAAAAUUCUCAAGGGUUCUGCCAUGGAGUUUUCAACAUGGGAAUGAGUAGAUGUGCAGUAACCUCUUUCAAGUUUCUGUGUCUACAAUCUGCUGGGAUGAAAGAGAGGACCUUUUGUGGGCCCCACAACGAGAAAAUAGGCACAAAAAUAAUAGGAUCCAUGACACUGGAUCCAUGAAACUGUUUCAUGGAUCCAGUGUCAUAGUUUGUACCAGGCCACAAAAAUGAACCAUGACACUAGAUCCAUGAAAGUGUCCGUGAAAGAAAUCAUGGACUGUAUCAGGCCUCAAAUAGCCACACAAAAUCUCACAUCUGUACGUGGGACUCACGGAAGAAAUGUCUCAAAAGCACCAUACAUGAUUCUGAUGGCAAUUGCACUGACCCUUCAGGCUUCAAGUGGGGAUAUUGGUUUUCUUGGAUGAGACUAAGCUCAAAUGUCCUGUAUUGGUCUCUUGUAACUAAUGAGGGUUUAAAUAGUUGUUGGGAUUAAUAGUCUCGUGACUCUCACCGGUCUCGCUAUUAGACCGGUCUAAUAGCGAGGGGUUAUCAAGACUAUACUGGCAACAGUCGUUUGUUAACCAGAUUCAACCAAGUGUAGAAUAAGAUUAUGAUACCUUGUACUUCCCCUCUUAAUUUAGUCCCGCCUUAGAGCCCGUUCC